GCUCCCUCCUCCCUCCUCCUGCGGGGAAGGGGGCAGCCAGCUUGCCCGGCCAGCUGCACGCCUUGCAAGGGAAGGAGGAGGGAGAAGGAGGAGAGCAGAAGGGGACAGCCGGCCCCGAGCCCUGCUGCUGCCGGCUCCCGGCGGCGUCCGCUCCCGCCGUGGGAACCGGCCCGGAGCUGGGAACCGACCCCGGCCCCGGUGAGUGCCCCCCUCUGCCCCCACCCCCUCCCUGAGCCCGCAUCCCCUACCCUGACCCCACUCCUUCCUUGCGCCCUCCAUCCCCUCCCUGGCCCCUGCACACUUCUCUGCACCCCCUUCCAAACUUCCCCGCGUGUGCAGAAGCGCGGGGCUCAUUUUUGGCGGGGGGAAGCUGUACCGCGAUGGGCUGAGCCCUCCCUGCCGCCUCCCCGGGGAUGCGCAGGGCCAGCCCCGGGGGUCCCUGCUGCGGAGCCCUCCCCAGCCUCGGAGUGCGGAAACUUUUUUCGGUGUGAUGAGAUUUUCCUCGCGAGGGGGUCCAGAGGCCGGGGGUGCAGGGUAGGGGGAAGGACAGAGGUCUCGGGUGGAAGCAAACUACUUUUUUCCCCACCUCUGGUUUUUCCAGAGGGGGAGCUUUGCCGUGCAGUGGGCGCGUACAAGCCCCCAGCCCGGCUGCCCUCCCGGGAUGAAGCGUCUCCAGCUGGAAUCCCUUCACUUCUCCUUCCCCCAGUGGAAUGGUGGUUUCUAGAGGUCUCGGGAUCGCCACGGCUGCAGAGUAAUCCGAGCAGCAGCUGGAGGCUCCGCACUGCCUCCCCUGCCCGGCUUCGGGGCUUUGAUUUCACACAGGGCUCCCUGUCUCCCCUCCUCUCCCUCCUCCUCCUCCUCCUCUCCGGGCCCUCCCCUCAACUCUCGGGAGCGAAGAGAAGCUUUUUGGUGGGUUUCUGGUGCUGGGAGGCUCGCAGGGUCUGGAGCUUAUUCAAGGUAAGGAGAGAAAGGAGAAGGAAAGGAAAGCUUAGAGGGGUCGGCUGGAUGGGAUGUAGAAGCUGGAAGGCGCAGAGGGGGGGUCCUUUCUCCCCGGAUUGUAUUGAUAAAGGCAUGGCAAAGGCAUUCCUUUCUGGGAAUUUCUCAUCUGUGAGUGGAUUAAGCUGA
rnacentral:lncRNA from 1 species